UACGGAGGGUGCGAGCGUUGUCCGGAAUCAUUGGGCGUAAAGGGCGCGUAGGUGGCCCAGUAAGCGUGCGGUGAAAGCUCGGGGCUCAACCCCGAGUCGGCCGUGCGAACUACUGGGCUGGAGCACUGUAGAGGCAGGCGGAAUUCCGGGUGUAGCGGUGGAAUGCGUAGAGAUCCGGAAGAACACCGGUGGCGAAGGCGGCCCGCUGGGCAGGAAGGCUCGCAAGAGCCGGCUGACGCUGAGGCGCGACAGCGUGGGGGAGCAAACAGG
rnacentral:rRNA from 1 species